AUGUAUUGCAUUGCCUUUUUUCAACAGUAUCUCAUGCUGAUUGCAUAUUGGAACCUGUGGUACAGGCCUCAGCAGGAAUGUUUGACUCAUGUACAUUUGUUGCCAAGCUUUCAUUUUGCUGGCGUUGACGACAUUAAGAGCAACUGGAAAUUUUUUGAUAAGGAAAUAUUUCUCUUUAUAAAAGGUGAUGAGUGUGAACUAGCAACAUUCCCUCCAGGAUCAGAUAUGCAACAAGCAGCAGUAGUAGCUAUUCAGGAAGAGGACCCUUAUAAUUGGGGGUAUGACUCUGUGCUUUGGAAGGUUCCAAAAGGAAGCUAUGCAAGUGAUUUCAUCAGGAAAGAGAUGAAGAUGAGAGGAAGAGAGACUCCCCCAAGCUCUGUCUAG
rnacentral:rRNA from 1 species